CAGGACCUACGGGGGGCAGCAGUGGGGGAUAUUGCACAAUGGGGGGAACCCUGAUGCAGUGACGCCGCGUGGGUGAAGGAGCGUUUCGGCGCGUAAAGCCCUAUCGGCAGGGAAGAAGAUGACGGUACCUGACCAAGAAGCCCCGGCUAACUACGUGCCAGCAGCCGCGGUAAUACGGAGGAUGCGAGCGUUAUCCGGAUUUAUUGGGUUUAAAGGGUGCGUAGGCGGACUGUUAAGUCAGCGGUAAAAUCCCGGGGCUCAACCCCGGCGAGCCGUUGAAACUGGCUGUCUUGAGAUGU
rnacentral:rRNA from 1 species